GACUCGAGUUAAUAGAGCCCGGCGUAAAGGGUGUUUAAGACUUAAUUCCAAGUACAAUAAAGCUAACCUGUAACUAAGUCGUAAAAAACCACAGUUACAGUGAAAUAAACUACGAAAGUGGCUUUAGUACUCUGAAUACACUAUAGCUAAGGUACAAACUGGGAUUAGAUACCCCACUAUGCUUAGCCCUAAACCUCAGUAACUCAACCAACAAACUUAUUCGCCAGAAUACUACAAGCAACAGCUUGAAACUCAAAGGACCUGGCGGUGCUUUACAUCCGUCUAGAGGAGCCUGUUCUAUAAUCGAUACACCCCGAUAAACCUCACCACCUCUUGCCAU
rnacentral:rRNA from 1 species